rnacentral:lncRNA from 1 species
AUAACUAAAAUAUUUGAAGAUAUGCAAUACUUUUUGUAUACAUUUCAUUCGUGAUAGACCAAUUUAAAAAGAAAAAUAAAAAUACAGCAGGAGUUUUUGUGCUUCAUAUCUCCCAUCUCCUUAGCAAAGGGUGCACCAUCUCAAUUAAUGAACACCGAUAUAGAAGAGACAUAUGACAGUGGUGAUCAUAGCAAUCAGAUACCUAUUAUUGGUAUUGCAGAGAAGUUACAGAAAGAACAUGUGUUAGUUUAUAACAGACAACAGCAUAAAUGGUGUAACAACACAAACUGCUAAUACCUUGUUUUAUGCAGAUUACAUGCAUUGGAUGAUGGAGCACUUGGUGUUGGGGACACUGAGGGAGCAGGGGUUGGAGCAGGAGGUUCAUACUUUCCUGUCAACAUUCAAAAGGAUCAAUACCAUAAUAUCAUACCUUUUCAAAAUCAUCAUUCAAAAGACAAAGUUUGUAAAGAGUGGUCAAAAAAACAGUAGAAAAAACUUAUGAAGAUGCACUAACCACAAAGAAGGAGAUUUGGUGGAGGAGGCUUCUCUUUGGCAGGGUUGGGAUCAGCAUCNNN